rnacentral:rRNA from 1 species
UACGUAGGGCGCAAGCGUUGUCCGGAAUUAUUGGGCGUAAAGAGCUCGUAGGUGGUUUGUCGCGUCUGCCGUGAAAGCCCGGGGCUUAACUCCGGGUCUGCGGUGGAUACGGGCAGACUAGAGGCAGGUAGGGGAGAACGGAAUUCCCGGUGUAGCGGUGAAAUGCGCAGAUAUCAGGAGGAACACCUAUUGCGAAGGCAGCUCGCUGGGACGUAACUGACGCUGAGGAGCGAAAGCGUGGGGAGCAAACAGG